GGGAUGAACCGGAAGCCGGGUUACGGUGCCCAACUGCGCGCUAACCUAGAACCCACAAAGGGUGUUGGUCGAUUAAGACAGCAGGACGGUGGUCAUGGAAGUCGAAAUCCGCUAAGGAGUGUGUAACAACUCACCUGCCGAAUCAACUCACCCCGAAAAUGGAUGGCGCUGAAGCGCGCGACCCACACCCGGCCAUCUGGGCGAGCGCCAUGCCCCGAUGAGUAGGAGGGCGCGGC
rnacentral:ncRNA from 1 species